ACGGAGGAUGCAAGCGUUAUCCGGAUUUAUUGGGUUUAAAGGGUGCGUAGGCGGAUAAAUAAGUCAGUGGUGAAAGCCUGCAGCUUAACUGUAGAAUUGCCAUUGAUACUGUUUAUCUUGAGUACAGCUGAGGCGGGCGGAAUAUGACAUGUAGCGGUGAAAUGCUUAGAUAUGUCAUAGAACACCGAUGGCGAAGGCAGCCCCCUGGGCUAACACUGACGCUCAUACACGAAAGCGUGGGGAGCAAACAGGA
rnacentral:rRNA from 1 species